CUUGCUCCUAGAGGUGUUGCAGGUGUGACUGCUAUGCCACAUUUUCACCAGUAGGUGGCAGAGAGGAGUGAGGCUGUGUUUACACUCAGUGUUCUGAAAUGUGAUCAUCUGGAUGAUUAGUAGCCUAAAUCC